GACUCUCGGCAAUGGAUAUCUCGGCUUCUGCAUCGAUGAAGACGCAGCGAAAUGCGAUAUGUGGUGCGAAUUGCAGAAUCCCGCGAACCAUCGAGUCUUUGAACGCAAGUUGCGCCCGAGGCCAAAACCCAAGGGCACGUCUCCCUGGCGUCA